rnacentral:lncRNA from 1 species
AGGGGUUGAGGCUCUGGAAGUAGCGGUCGAACUGGCGGACAGGCUGGGAGGUGAAGGAGGCAUUGGCGCGGCUGGCGGCUGCAAUGAGCUCCCGCGAGUCGUCGCUGCGCAUGAAGAGGACCACGACGCGCGCGUUGGGCUUCUGCAACAGUUCUCGGAUCACGCUGUCGUAGGACUUGCGGAUGUUGGAGCGGCCCACCUUCUCCGCCGUAGCGAUGCAGAUGUUGCGCAGGCGGGCUUCCUGCUCGAAGGCCUCGAUCCCUGUCUCCCCGUAAUCACCCUCGGAGGCUACUGUGGACACGUAGGUCCAGUUGAAGAAGCGCAAGAUCUCAGCCAUGGCUUUGGCCUGGUAGAAGUCGGGGGGCACGGUCCUGGCAAAGUAAUCAUAGCGCGACUUAUCACUGAGUUUGGCGCUGGUGGAUGCGUAGCUGAUCUGAGGGAUCUGGAAGAGCCGCAGCAGGUUUGCCACCUAGGGGAGGGAGAAGAAGGACCUUUGUUAGAAACCCCGAGGUAGAUGACUGGACAUGAAAAUGAAUAAUAGCAUCCACACCUUUUACUGACUCCCUUUUCCCUCUACUCUAGAUGGCUACAUUUUUCUGUUAGUUCUUGAGAUGAAUACCAGAUGCUUCCUUGGAUACUGUAUUUUGGACACUAGGAAGCAGGUCUCACACAGGUAGUGUGUGCUUCAGGAAAGGGCAGAGUAGAGAAAUGAGAAGGGCACCACACUCUCUUCUAUACUCUGUGCUAGACUCUAGACUAGGAUAAAACCUGUCCAUGGGCUCUCAGGUUUCUUUAAGUUUCUGGGGUCCUGCUAUAUAUAGCUCAAGCAAUGAACUACAGUGAAUUGGCCAAACUCGGUUUUUGACUGCACUUGUAUAGAAAGAGCAAGGGUGUUGUCUAAUUCUCACUUCC